GGUAGUCCACGCCGUAAACGAUGUCGACUUGGAGGUUGUGCCCUUGAGGCGUGGCUUCCGGAGCUAACGCGUUAAGUCGACCGCCUGGGGAGUACGGCCGCAAGGUUAAAACUCAAAUGAACUGACGGGGGCCCGCACAAGCGGUGGAGCAUGUGGUUUAAUUCGAUGCAACGCGAAGAACCUUACCUACUCUUGACAUCCAGAGAACUUAGCAGAGAUGCUUUGGUGCCUUCGGGAACUCUGAGACAGGUGCUGCAUGGCUGUCGUCAGCUCGUGUUGUGAAAUGUUGGGUUAAGUCCCGCAACGAGCGCAACCCUUAUCCUUUGUUGCCAGCGGUUAGGCCGGGAACUCAAAGGAGACUGCCAGUGAUAAACUGGAGGAAGGUGGGGAUGACGUCAAGUCAUCAUGGCCCUUACGAGUAGGGCUACACACGUGCUACAAUGGCGCAUACAAAGAGAAGCGACCUCGCGAGAGCAAGCGGACCUCAUAAAGUGCGUCGUAGUCCGGAUUGGAGUCUGCAACUCGACUCCAUGAAGUCGGAAUCGCUAGUAAUCGUAGAUCAGAAUGCUACGGUGAAUACGUUCCCGGGCCUUGUACACACCGCCCGUCACACCAUGGGAGUGGGUUGCAAAAGAAGUAGGUAGCUUAACCUUCGGGAGGGCGCUUACCACUUUGUGAUUCAUGACUGGGGUGAAGUCGUAACAAGGUAACCGUAGGGGAACCUGC
rnacentral:rRNA from 1 species